GUUUGUUCAGCCAAUCAGAAGGCUUUCAGGCGCUUUCUGUCGCGUGCACAGUGGCCAGUGAAACCGGAAGCUGAGCUUGGAGAAUUUUCGUGAGUUUAGAGAGUGUAAAAUGUUCCAGAUUUUUCACCCGUCAACAACGGCCUACACAGCCAAACCGCCUAAAAGACAUAGUAAAAUAAAGAAACCAAAUCAGGAAGAAAACAGCUGCACAUUGGUAAAGCUGUCAUGUUUUGAGGGAGGCGCAGCAGAUCAUGUGCUACACAACUUCGGACCGUACGAAGUCGCCGAGAUGAGGACAUGCAGAGUCCAAUGAUGCUUCUGAGGAAGUGCGUUGCUCUUUGAAGUGAGGAAGGAAGGUUGAGAGAGCUCUCUCCAGCACAUGCCUCCCUCAUUAGUGUCCAGCAGCUGAAGACUCGAGGUCACAAACCCAAUGAACUGCCCAUUUCAUUCAGCUUUGCCGACAUGGAAAGAUGACCACUGUGACCUAAUGUUGCAGUAUGGUCUGACAGCACAUUGUACACAACAUACAAAGUAGCUUGAAUAACCCUUGAAUCUUGUGUGGAGUGCAUUAUUUUUUAUGAAAUUGCUGUAGUGUCCAACUUUUCAGCAUGCUUGUAGAUUUUAUUCAUUCCAUAAAUUGUGCAUUUUUCUAAAAAAAAAAAAAAGGGAACAGGUCUUGUGAUUUAUUUGCUGAACUGUGGGUGAUGAAAUAUUUAAUAUCCUGGGUAUUAAAAUGAUCAGUCUCGGAUCUAUUGAGAGGGUUGACAUGGUUGAAUCAGAACCACACUAAGGAACUGCUGCACAGGGAAUUAUUGCUUCAGUCUGAACAUGUCACCUCUACAAUAUUUCUAUGAUUAUAAUGUACAAUUAUCCUUUUUUUUUUCGUUCUCGGAUCUAAGUUUUCUCUAGCUUGUCAUUGUUAAAAGAUUUAAAGUACACAAUAUGAAAGAACAAUAAAGUCUAGACUCAAUGUCAUUGCUUGGAUUUGAUUUAUACACUUAAGUAUUUCACAUGCAUAAUGCAAAGUAGAGCUCUCACACUUACUGUACACAUAAUGUGACUAAGGUAAAAUGAGCAAGAUAAAAUUUCAUGUUUUAAUGCCCCAGAAAAGCUGGUUG
rnacentral:lncRNA from 1 species